GCCCCAAUGGCGGAAUGGUAGACGCGCAGGUUUCAGGUACCUGUGACCGCAAGGUCGUGGAAGUUCAACUCUUCUUUGGGGCA
rnacentral:tRNA from 1 species